UACGUAGGUGGCAAGCGUUGUCCGGAAUUAUUGGGCGUAAAGCGCGCGCAGGCGGUCCUUUAAGUCUGAUGUGAAAUCCCUCGGCUUAACCGGGGAACUGCGUCUGAUACUGGAUGGCUUGAGUUUGGGAGAGGGAUGCGGAAUUCCAGGUGUAGCGGUGAAAUGCGUAGAUAUCUGGAGGAACACCGGUGGCGAAGGCGGCAUCCUGGACCAACACUGACGCUGAGGAGCGAAAGCUAGGGGAGCAAACAGG
rnacentral:rRNA from 1 species